CCUACGGGAGGCUGCAGUGGGGAAUAUUGCACAAUGGGGGGAACCCUGAUGCAGCAAUGCCGCGUGAAGGAUGAAGGUUUUCGGAUUGUAAACUUCUUUUGUCAGGGAAGAGUAGAAGACGGUACCUGACGAAUAAGCCACGGCUAACUACGUGCCAGCAGCCGCGGUAAUACGUAGGUGGCAAGCGUUGUCCGGAUUUACUGGGUGUAAAGGGCGUGUAGCCGGGUUGACAAGUCAGAUGUGAAAUCCUGCGGCUUAACCGCAGAACUGCAUUUGAAACUGUUGAUCUUGAGUACUGGAGAGACAGACGGAAUUCCUAGUGUAGCGGUGAAAUGCGUAGAUAUUAGGAGGAACACCAGUGGCGAAGGCGGUCUGCUGGACAGCAACUGACGGUGAGGCGCGAAAGCGUGGGGAGCAAACAGGAUUAGAUACCCGAGUAGUC
rnacentral:rRNA from 1 species